rnacentral:rRNA from 1 species
UACGGAGGGUGCGAGCGUUGUCCGGAAUCACUGGGCGUAAAGAGCUCGUAGGCGGUCUGUCGCGUCUGCUGUGAAAACUCAGGGCUUAACCCUGAGCUUGCAGUGGGUACGGGCAGACUAGAGUGCGGUAGGGGAGACUGGAAUUCCUGGUGUAGCGGUGAAAUGCGCAGAUAUCAGGAGGAACACCGGUGGCGAAGGCGGGUCUCUGGGCCGUAACUGACGCUGAGGAGCGAAAGCAUGGGGAGCGAACAGG